rnacentral:sRNA from 1 species
GAAACUAGAGAUAAGGGAUAGUCCGUUUGGGGACACGGCGCUUCUUGCUGAUGUGAGCAAGUAUGAAACAAUGCGAUCCCUUUGGAUGUCUUCAUGUGAAGUCACACUCAGUGGAUGCAAAAGGCUCGCAGAGAAAGCGCCAUGGCUCAAUGUAGAGAUCAUAAACGAGAAUGAUAAUAACCGGAUGGAAGAAAACGGACACGAGGGGAGGCAGAAAGUGGAUAAGUUGUAUCUGUACCGGACUGUGGUUGGGACAAGAAUGGAUGCGCCGCCAUUUGUGUGGAUUCUCUAAGUCCUUUUCAGACCAAACUGGUUCUGAUUGGUCGUCUUCCGUUAGUGUGUCUUUCCCGAAUUAGGUGUACUUUUUGUUUUCUUUAAAUUAAGACAAGAACUGAUUCUUCUGUGAAAGCCAUUCUGUUUUUGUUUUUGACUUUCCUCCGUUGAUUUAUUGGUUUCUUUUUUCAAGUUAUUACAAAGUGCUACGGUUUGUCUUAUUUUUCUAAGCUUUUUAGAUUUACCUUGCUAGGAAACAAGAAUGUACACAAUAAAGAA